rnacentral:rRNA from 1 species
GAUGAACGCUGGCGGCGUGCCUAAUACAUGCAAGUCGAGCGAACAGAUGAGGAGCUUGCUCCUCUGACGUUAGCGGCGGACGGGUGAGUAACACGUGGAUAACCUACCUAUAAGACUGGGAUAUCUACGGGAAACCGGAGCUAAUACCGGAUAAUAUAUUGAACCGCAUGGUUCAAUAGUGAAAGACGGUUUUGCUGUAACUUAUAGAUGGAUCCGCGCCGCAUUAGCUAGUUGGUAAGGUAACGGCUUACCAAGGCAACGAUGCGGAGCCGACCUGAGAGGGUGAUCGGCCACACUGGAAGUGAGACACGGUCCAGACUCCUACGGGAGGCAGCAGUAGGGAAUCUUCCGCAAUGGGCGAAAGCCUGACGGAGCAACGCCGCGGGAGUGAUGAAGGUCUUCGGAUCGGAAAACUCUGUUAUCAGGGAAGAACAAAUGUGUAAGUAACUAUGCACGUCUUGACGGUACCUAAUCAGAAAGCCACGGCUAACUACGUG